rnacentral:rRNA from 1 species
CCUACGGGAGGCAGCAGUGAGGAAUAUUGGUCAAUGGCCGGAACGCUGAACCAGCCAUGCCGCGUGAAGGACAGUGCCCUUCGGGCGUUAAACUUCUUUUGUGCGGGAGCAAUGAUGGUCAUGUGUGGCCAGACGAGAGUACCGUACGAAUAAGCAUCAGCUAAGUCCGUGCCAGCAGCCGCGGUGAUACGGGGGGGGAAAGGGUUUGCCGGGUUGAUUGGGUUGAAAGGGUGCGGAGGCUGGGAGGUAAGUCGUGGGUGAAAUGCCCCCGGCCGACGGGGUGAAGUGCCAUUGAUACUGCCUUGCUGGAGUGCGGAUGCGGUAGGAGGAAUGUGUGGUGUAGCGGUGAAAUGCGUAGAUAUCA